rfam:Actinomyces sp. VTL4_2 Scaffold4, whole genome shotgun sequence.
UGAGUCGUCCAGACGGUCGCGUCAGUUUUACUGCCGAGGAACGUCCGGGCUCCUAAGAGCACGAUGGUGGCUAACGGCCACCCGGGGUGACCCGCGAGCUAGUGCCACAGAGAACAGACCGCCAACGGAUAGUUGGUAAGGGUGAAACGGUGGAGUAAGAGACCACCAGAGGUGAAGGUGACUUCAUCUGCUAGGUAAACCUCAUCGGGAGCAAGACCAAACAGUGGACGCUAAUUAGCUCUUAUAGUCCACGGGUAGGUUGCUAGAGCCUUCUGGUAACAGUUGCGCCUAGAUAAAUGGCCGUCCGCGCCGGCAGGCAUUAUGCCUUACCGGCGCGACAGAACCCGGCGUAUCGGGCGGCUCAUCCC